rnacentral:tRNA from 1 species
GGGGGCGAAGUAUUUAUGUACAUCUCAGUUACAUUGAGAGAGACCAGUAUUUGGCGUCCUUU